rnacentral:tmRNA from 1 species
GGUACCCGGCGCCUCCACCACAGCCCUGCGGCGCGAGCAGCAGGGAGCUUGCAGCCCACAAGGUUGCAGGGCUGCGGCGGGGGCGAAAUAGGAUCGACGAGGGUGUAAAAGUUGUUCUUUUGCCCGGCAUGGUUCCGCCGUUAUCGGGCCAUUGCAUAGUUGCCAACGACAACAAUGCUCGGGUUGCUGUCGCCGCGUAAGCGGUGCUGGUUCCCAAACCAAAGCCCUUGCGCUUAGCCGCGUAAGGCGGGGCUCGGAGGCGCCUGGCAACAGAAGCCUCCACU